AUGAGCAAGAAACUCAUGACCUGUUCUGUCCCAAUUGCAACUCAUGCAUAACUCAAAGGGUGAUUCUGCGGAAGAGAAAAAGGACAGUAAGACAAACAUCACCUGAUGAACCACCAAAGAAAACACAGAUUGCAGAGCCUUCUGCUAAUACUUCAAAUCAGACUGUACCUGAAAGACAAGGGCAAGAGUCACCUGACAUAUUCAGAUGUUUAUCAUGCUUCGCCUUCUUCAUUCCAACAGGUAUCAUUUGGGGAAGCGCUUGUAAAUUGUAAUCACGCAUUCAUCACCUGAAGCUUAGCAUAUUUGCUAAAUGAAAUAGAAAUGUUAUUUAGCGUAUUCACUAAAAAAAAUAGUAGAAAUGUUACUUAGAAUCAUUAUACUUGUGUAUACAGUUUCAGAUCCACCAUACCUGCACUAUUUAUGCACAAAGAGCCAAAACUGAAAGUCUCACAUGAUUCAUUUCAUUCAUGAUUCAGACAUUGAGUUGGAGGCAGGAAUCUGCCUUUUUCGACGAUGCAUUCCUAGUUCAGUUUUAGGAUAAUGUCUUGGUUUGUACAGGUGUUUUUUGCCGGGCCGGCCAAGAUAGGCCAACCAAAUUUACUAAGAUUGAUGAAUAUGUACUGGUUUGUACAGGUGUUACCUGACUAUUUCAUUUCAAAGACCAGCUUAACCUGUUUGUUAUCACCAGGUUGUGGCUUUAACAUAUUCCGUAUAUUUGGAAGGACGGAAGUGAACCAAGAAGCUCAGGUACAGGAAGCUGCUGCAUCAGGUCAGAUGUCUGGCUCCGACAAUUGUGCAAGUUGGCUUUUUUCUUGUUUCGAGCCUGGAGACGGUCCAAAGAAAACUGAUGCAGGUAUGUAAUCUGCAAGGCAUGCUGUACUUACUAGAAGGCAGUUACUCUACAUUUCUUGAAUUUCUCUGAACAAUUUGUACACAUUGCAGGUCCAGAAAAGGAGCCACUAUUACCUGACAAGCAGGACUCCAAUAAUGGUUCAGCUUCAUCAGUUGAAGGUAGCACAGCAUCCGUUCAUAGUCAUGGCAUAAGUGUACAACAACAAGAAUCAAAGAGACCAUUGCCAGCUGAGUCAUCUUCCCAACUUCA
rnacentral:lncRNA from 1 species